UGAAGAACUUGUGCAACAUCGGUGGUAAUGAAACAAGCGGUUUGCCCAACAGAUGAGAUUACAAUGUGCAAAAUUGGGCAGGACUCACAUGGAGACUCGUGCAACUUAUUCUGAGACGAAAUUUGCCAGAUCAAACAUCAUGUCUUGCAGAUCUCCUCUCACUGCUGGUAAGAGUGUGAAGAACAGGGCGCUGAUCGUCUCUGUGGAAAACUUUUAUCCUGGGGCCUAUUUGUGCAGGAGAAUCGGUGUGAAGAGAGACAGUCGAAGGCUUUACAAGAUCCUCAGCGAACUGGGCUUUUCUGUGGACAUCAGACUGGACAUCGAGGCGGAGGAGAUUUAUCAAGCAUUUAAAGCUGAGAGCGAGCAGACGGUCAAAGAGUGCUUUGUGGGCAUCAUCUCCAGUCACGGUGAAGAAGGUGUUGUGUUUGGUUGUGAUGGACGUGCUGUGAAUCUGGCCGAGAUCUACAGCUGCUUCAGAAGCCCAAUAAUGAAGGACAAGAGCAAACUCUUCCUCAUCCAGGCUUGCAGAGGUGGAGAUUUGGAUGGAGGUGUGGAGCUGGAGACAGACUCUUCAUCCUCAGAGGAACAGGACAUCCUGUCUGAGCUUCUUUCCAUUCCUAUCGACACUGCAGUAACAUACGCCACUUCACCAGGCUACGCUGCAUUCAUGCAUCCUCUGGGCUCGGUGCUGAUUCAGACUCUCUGUGAUCUGCUGGAAAGCGAUGGAGGUCCAGAUCUGGAGAUCACCAAACUCCUGACUCGACUGAACCACCAGGUGGCCUACAACUUCCAGGCCAGAGGGAAAAUACUGGGCGGGAAAAAGCAGAUGCCGUGCUUUGUGACGCGCUUCACUAGAGAGGUUUUCCCAUUCAGGAAACCCAUCGAUGAACCCAGGAGAUCACGGAAAAGCUCCAUCAGCUGAAGAUCACAGAACAAAGACGGACUGGAGAUAAUACAUGUCAUGAAUGUACUUUUUCAUGUGCAAUCUUCUUUCAUGAACAUAACAUCGCAGUUGCAUCAGCAGCAGGAAGUCAACUGUUGGGACAAGCUAUGAACCUGAAAUCACACUGUUAUGAUGGACACACACUGAUAAUAUGAACAUAAUCCCAAUGAAAUCCUGAUUCGGGAAACACUUGAGUUAUGAUAAUCCUGAUUCACAUAUCGAAACUAAAGUAAAGCCCAGGAGCUCAUGUGAUGUGAAGCGACGUGCAGGAUUUCAACACAAGCACUAAUGUCAGGGUGCAUUUCACCGUCUGUCAGCUCCACUGAUGGACAUUGCUUGGGCUUUUUGGCUGCUCGGUAUGUUAAUUGCACGCUUUAAACUAGUGUUGAGUCAUUUUCUUGCAUUCAGUUGUUGCUUGGUAGACUAACAAUACAUAUAAACGAACAUUCAGGCUUUCCUAUGAUACAAAGAAACAAUUCAUCAUACAGUUGGAUUUAAAUGAUUAUAAUUUAAUAAUUAUAAUUUAAUAAUUAAUUUAAUAACCAACAACUUUUAUACAGCUUAAAGAAAUAGUGUGUCAACUAAAGCUGUCUGGUUCCUCCACUGAUGCUCUUCCACCAUACUUUUUAAAGCAAGUCUUUGACACAGUGGGUCCCUAUAUUACAGCUAUGGUAAAUCACUGUUUUAAAACUGGUAAUGUACCUGAUAUUUUAAAGCAUGCCACUGUAAAUCCUUUGCUGAAGCAACCAAAUUUGGAUCCAUCUGUUUUAGCCAAUUAUAAACCCAUUUCAAAGUUGUCUUUUAGUACAAAGAUUUUAGAAAAAGUAGUUCUGCAGCAACUGCAAAGGUUUUUAGAUGAUCAUAAAAUCUUUCAGUCAGGUUUUAAAAAAUAUCACUCAACUGAGACCGCAUGGGUGAAAGUUAAAAAAAUCUGGGCGUUAUCUUUGAUGAUGGCUUGAGAUUUGAUAAGCAGAUUAACGCAGUGGUCAAAUCCUGCUUUUUUCAGCUUCGACUUUUAAAAACGGUCAAACCUAUUGUCACACAAUUAGCGAUCGCUUCCCAGAGGAUCGCUGGUUCUCACACGAACUCUCAUGACUACAUUUCCGCAUUUCCCAGGACUACAUUUUCAUACAUGCACUGCUCCCAAACACGCACGCCUGCUCAUUCAUCUAUCCUGAUUGCAAUCCCCAGCUGGACCUUGUUCACAGACUGAUAUCACUCCAUUCAUAAGCCACUCUCUGACGCUUCCAGUUUGCUGAGUUUUCCCAGUGUGACAUUACGAAGCGUUUCUCCCUGUCUUGUUUCUUAGUGGUGGGCAAAGCGAGGCUUCGUGAAACACUGAAACAGUCGAAGCAAAUGUGUCGAAGC